GAGAGAGAGAGAGAGAGAGAGAGAGAGAGAGAGAGAGAGAGAGAGAGAGAGAGAGAGAGAGAGAGAGGGAGAGAGAGAGAGAGAGAACCGUAAACCAGUACAGGUGAGUGCAGGAAGGAGCAUUAAGUGCAGGCGAGAGCAGAGAACACACACUCAACCUCACUCAAUGUUUUAUUCAUAGCAUCCAUUUACAUUAAUUCUUUCUCCAACGCGAGAGUCGCAAUUCAAUCUUCGAUAAUUCACACCUCUGACGUAAUUCUAACCCUUGACGUGUAAUUCUAACCCAUGACGUGUAAUUCUAACCCCUGACAUGUAAUUCUAACCCCUGACAUGUAAUUCUAACCCCUGACAUGUAAUUUUAACCCCUGACAUGUAAUUCUAACCCAUGACAUGUAAUUCUAACCCCCUGACAUGUAAAUUCUAACCCCUGACAUGUAAUUCUAACCCCUGACAUGUAAUUCUAACCCAUGACAUAUAAUUUUAACCCCUAACAUGUAAUUCUAACCCCCUGACAUGUAAAUUCUAACCCCCCUGAUAUGUAAAUUCUAACCCCCUGACAUGUAAAUUCUAACCCCUGACAUGUAAAUUCUAACCCCCUGACAUGUAAUUCUAACCUCUGACAUGUAAUUCUAACCCCUGACAUGUAAUUCUAACCCCCUGACAUGUAAUUCUAACCCAUGACAUGUAAUUCUAACCCCCUGACAUGUAAUUCUAACCCAUGACAUGUAAUUCUAACCCCCUGACAUGUAAUUCUAACCCAUGACAUGUAAUUCUAACCUGGUGUUAAAUUUAUCCUAGACUCUCCCUCUCGGUGGUAAGUGUCUUGUAUAUUCUUCGUCUCUCUCUCCACCAUUCUUUUGACAAUAACUGUCGAUGUAUUCGCGUGUUGCGUGGAGACACGCACAUUUGCCAGGAGCAUCGCGCGAACAUUGCCGUACCGACCAACUGGUGAGCGCCCGCGGGUCGAUAGUCGGCCACCGGCGUCAACCCACCUACCAACUUCGUCAUCCAACUCGCUCAGUAGAGAAGCGCUGACUUGAGGCUGUAGCAGCGGUAAUCAUGUCGCAUCUAGCAACGGCACUCAUCAUCAGAGAUCCCGCUUCUGUUAGCCGAUUUGAGAGGCCUUUGGCAGUCUUCAGUCUCAAGCAAACAGAUGAGAAUUACUCUCGCAAGUUAUUGCUCUUCUGUGAGAAGCGUUCUCAUAUUUCACAUUUAGAACAGUGAACCUGUAUUGGAAAUAUAAUGAGAUAUUACGUCCCCUGCGAACCGACAACCCAGCGAGUGCCCAUUCAUCUAAACUCCCAAUCCAAUUCUUCCGUCUACGAAAAUCUUGUGAUAUGAUUAAUCGAUUAUCUCGGCCGGUGUCGCCGUCAUUAAACUAUACAUAAUAAAUUGUUAAUCAAUGCAUCGAAUACACUGCUAAGGUUGCCGAAGGGGGCGCCGCCGCCCCUCCUGACCAGGUCUAUAUAGUAUUCCACGGUAGCUCUCUCGCUUAAAGGUUGGCUGACCCACUGCUCGCCUCCAGUCAAUCUUGGGUUACGGGUUCUACAGGAAUAAGAACCUUUUCUCCCUUCCCCCAGUAACUCUCCGCAGGCAGCAACAGUAUGCAGGUACUACUGACAACGCAUCACUCUUUUUGGAAACUUAUCAUGAUCUCAAAAUUGUUCAUAUAUUUUUACUUUUUUAAUGGUUUCAUCCCAUGUAUAGUUGUAUAUUUUUGCAGCAAUUCGUAAAUAUACAUAAAAAAAUGCAAUGUCGAAGUCAAACCCUCGGCAACACUUACUGCUCCUGACCCUACCGGAGAGAGUUGGUAACCCUGCACGGUAAGGAAGAAGGGAUUCCAAAACUUGCCUUCACUGUUGCCCCUUUCCCCCCCCCCCCCAAACCCCCAAUCCCUCCCCCCCCCCUCACCCCACACCCCACCUUUCCCGAUAUUAAGAGGACCAGGAGGAUGUAGAGAUUACGAGGACCAGGAGGAUCUAGAGGACAAGGAGGUCCUGGAGAGAGGGACUGGAAUUGACUAUCAGGAAAACAUCCAAUAACAAGCCGGGAUGACUGCGCCCUUGAGGGUACAACAAGUGAUGUAUAAAGAAGAAGAUCUUGCAGACAAUAGGAGCUGGAGGACCCGGAUUCCUCUCCCUCCUUGUCUGUCAGACGCCACUAGGGACAGACCCACAAGACCAGCUGCCACGUAACCUAACCUAUCUUAAACCCAACCCAACUAAGAUGGCCGCCUCAUUCAACUCACUGACUUACUACAUUAUAUUAGGUGCGUUUUUAAGAUCUGGUAUCACGCCUUCCCACAACCUCUGUCACCAAAGUCAGCGGGAACUACCGAGAUAGUUUGAGGUUAUAUUGACCACUGAUCCUGACUCCCUCGGUUACUGGUCACCUUCGCCACCUCAACUGGCCAGGUAUUCCUAGUCCCAUUGUCACCUCAAGUGGCCAGGUAUUCCUAGUCCCAUUGUCACCUCAAGUGGCCAGGUAUUCCUAGUCCCAUUGUCACCUCAAGUGGCCAGGUAUUCCUAGUCCCAUUGUCACCUCAAGUGGCCAGGUAUUCCUAGUCCCAUUGUCACCUCAAGUGGCCAGGUAUUCCUAGUCCCAUUGUCACCUCAAGUGGCCAGGUAUUCCUAGUCCCAUUGUCACCUCAAGUGGUCAGGUAUUCCUAGUCCCAUUGUCACCUCAAGUGGUCAGGUAUUCCUAGUCCCAUUGUCACCUCAAGUGGCCAGGUAUUCCUAGUCCCAUUGUCACCUCAACUGGCCAGGUAUUCCUGGCUCUAUACCUGCCUCAGCUCGUCAAGUGUUCCAAUCCCAAUCCCACCACAGUUGGCUAAGUUUUUGACAUCCUUUCUUCAUGUACAGGGCCGUCUCGUCGAACUCGAUUCGUACUACGCAUGUUAAUGAUAAACAUUCAUAUAUAUACAUAUACAUAAUAUUUGAAGGUGUACAUAGUUCCAUUAUUUAAUAAAUCUCUGUAUGAUUACGUGAGUAGGCGUUAUUGUUUAUAUAUUGCCAAUGGUUUUUCAGCUUUAAUUGAGGAAACGAAACAUGGAGAUUCUAAGGUUGAAGAGAGCUCAAAUUCUAGACGUGUUAGUGACCGCCAUUUGAGCCAUUUCUCUAACAGAAAACGAAGGUUCUGUUGGUAACAUUCUUACGUGAAACAAAGUGUGGAGAUCUUGGAAACUUUUUUCAUCUUUCUUGACUCAGGAAAAAAUUAACAGUGAAUUUCUGACACUAAAAGUUUAGCCCGAGUAAAUGACUUGUCUACAAGCUUUCAUUUUCUUACAUUAUUAUUUUUGUAUAUCUACUGAGAGUACAAUGCUUCAGUAGGGGAAUGUGAAGAAUAAGUUAAAUAUUUUGACUCUACAAUGAACAGUUUAAGAAUGUUGCCACAUGAAUCACUGAAUGUGAGCUUUGCGACGCCAGGCCAAGACGACCACGCUAGAAACUCUGCAUGUUUCGCUUACCACAUCCAUAAUACAGACUUGUGAUGAUAUAUAACGAACCGAUAAAUUUGUUACCCGUUGAUGCACCAAUUUGGUAUACUUUGUAAAUAACUUUCUGAAAUAUUUUAAUGAAGUCUGCAGGUAUAUAACCCAACACAUCAAGGCUGUACAUGUAGGAGCCUCGACUCCUGGAGCGGGCGUGGCAAGGAGGGAAUUUCCUCAAGAGUGUCUGCAUCGCAUUUUGUGAUCAGAAGUUUAAGCUUUUUCAACAACAACACUAAAUGAAAGCUUAAUAUAACAAUACGAAAGUUCACAUAAUAUUGUGACCUUCGUGAUUCAUGAUUGAGACUUAAUGUAAACUUGAGAAACAAAAUUUAUAGCAAACAAAUUCACAUUUGUCAGCUAAUUUUAAUUUGACGCGGUCGUUGCUAAGCUGUUGUGGCUAUGUUGCACGACAGGAAUUAUAGAUCAGAAGACAUUAUAUGAGGAGGCCCGCCUGUCCUCAAGGGGUCACAGCCCCCCCUCUGUCCUCCAGGGGUCGAAGUUCCUUGAGAUAGUCACCUUUCCGCCGUGUGAGUUUGGUAUUAGUUUGACAUUUGUAAUUUACAAUUCUUACAUGAAUAUUUCUGGUAUAAGAGCAUCUCAAGCAUCAAAGUAAAUACAUUAAACAUUAA
rnacentral:lncRNA from 1 species